rnacentral:lncRNA from 1 species
UGUUAGUAUGUGUGUGGUGUAUAGACAGUCAGGUAUAACUGUUAGUAUGUGUGUGGUGUAUAGACAGUCAGGUAUAACUGUUAGUAUGUGUGUGGUGUAUAGACAGUCAGGUAUAACUGUUAGUAUGUGUGUGGUGUAUAGACAGUCAGGUAGAUCCUUGCCAGUCUCACUUUUGACAAGGUAAGCAGCUGGUGGCUCGGGUGGCAAGUUUGUGAACCUUUUCCUGCAGCAGUGAGUCAUCCCACUCAGCAUCUUGUGUUGUACUCUCAAAACUUUAGUGUUUCUGUGUGAAAAUGGCCCCUAAAAGACAGCCUAGUGUCAGUGCUAGUGAUGCUAGUGGAGUGAAAUGUAAGAGGCAGAAGUCAGUGAUGACCCUGGCAAAGAAAGUUGAAUUAUUAGAUAAGUUAAAAGAGGGGAUGACUGCUGCCGCUGCUGGUCAGUUGUUUGGUAUAGGUACACAGUAGUGCACUAAGGUAGUAUCAGUUGCUAUUCUCGGUUUUGCCAAUUUGUGCCAUUUCUUGGAACCUAUCCCCCAGUAAUUGCAAGGGUCUACUGUACUGUAAUAUCCUAAGCAUUUAAUAAGCAUACGAGUUUAUGGAAUCAAACUUUUUCACAGUGUCAGUCAAAUGUUAGGAGUUAUGGUAUUUCCUUUAAUUGGUUUACUAUCUUAGGGGUUUUGGGGGUUAUGUCCGUCAGGUUAUUUUGCACUGUGAUGUAGGGACUCCUUGAAUGUGAGAAUAUGUAAACUUGUGGUGCUUGACAUCGCUGUGAUAGCUACCCUUGACUAUACUGCUGCCCUUUUGUGCCAUGUUGUCCAAGAUCAUACUUUGUAACGGUUAGUGACAGUUUAACAGAACCGUGUGGCUCGGAUUUGCCCUUUAAGGGUGCGCUAGCCAUCGUGACUGUCCUCAGGCCUUCUUGUCAAUAAAAACAAGAGUACAGUACAUCUUUAUAUUUAGUACAGUAUUCUUCCUAUAGCUCAUAUACUGUUAACAUAUAUGGCCGAUCAACUCCCCGGGCGUACACGAGCGUGGGUCACCUUUCUCAGUGAGUGAGUGAAGCAGAACCUGUACACCUCUUGAGACACUUGCAAUCUUACUGUACAGUCCCUCACACUUGUGCUAAUACUUGUUAACUUUUAUAAUCAGACUCAUAAAACACAAGUACAGUACAGUAGUAUGAUUACUUAACUGAUUAGUUUGCAGAAAUGUAAACAAUUAUGUGCCAUCAUGUAUUAGUUUGUUCAGAUUUACUAUACUGUACUAUAUUAGACUUUGUUUAGUUCUGGUUUGACUCCUCUCUCUCCAGGAUGUGCUAAAGUAGUUGAGUUUUCAUAGAUAUACCGUAUUGUUUGCAUUUCUUCCAGAAAACAAGAAGUUAUUAAUUUAAUUUUAUACAGAGAUUUAUGAAUGGUUUAUAAUUAGUAAAUUUUUGUGUUUUGGUUUUAAUGGAAGUAUUUCUAUAAGUUUCAUUUUUUCCUUCAGUAUUACAGUAAGUGUUGUGUAUAGUUUUUGAAUGUUGUGAAGAUUAUGAGAAAAAAGUUAGGUUAAAAGGUUAAGUAUUAAAAUGAAGUAGACAAUGUGAGAUUGUUAAUGAUGGUCACACAACAGGUGGAGGAAGAGCAGGUCACACAUUCUCUCUGGAUUUAUGGAAUAAUUAACUUAAAAGCUUAGUUAUGAGGACUAGUAUUUACAUUGAGCAAUAAUAAGUACUUUGGGAGGGGCUCUUUUUGCUAUCAUGUUCUUUAUUAAUAUUUGUAAACUUAUGAAACAAGUUAUUUCUGUGAACAAAAUCUAUACAUAGUACUGUAGCCUUUUUAACUUGUUGGCAGCCUUGUACCUGUAUUGUAUAGAGUACCACCAGCAGUCACCUGUAGGAUGAUGUGUUUAUUUUGUGAGAUAAACUUGAUGGUACAGUACUGUUGCUGGCAUAAUCACCCUCUUUCUCCCAAGUUUAAAGAUGUAAUCAUGAUUGCAAGAGCUUAACUAAACUAUUCAGUGAAUUUUGAUAUGUUAUUUAACAUGGAACUGUCACUUAUUUGUACUGUUUUAUAUGUAAGUGAUGUACUUUAUGGAGAAUAAAUGAGUAAAACAAACUUGUGUUGUCCAACAGCUUCACAAAUCAUCAGAUUAUUGCAACAAUCAUGAUUUAUCAACAGUGAAAGGGGUGCUUAUGCCAAAACAUUACUCAGUCUACAUAUUUUGGGAUAUUUUUUGAUGAUUUGUGAGUUUGUGGCUAACUUUUUGUGCUCUUAACCUAUCACUUGAUUAAAUUACUUGAAGACA